rnacentral:rRNA from 1 species
AUCAGCCAUGCCGCGUGUGUGAAGAAGGCCUUUUGGUUGUAAAGCACUUUAAGCGAGGAGGAGGAGCUCUUGGUUAAUACCCAAGAUGCUUGGACGUUACUCGCAGAAUAAGCACCGGCUAACUCUGUGCCAGCAGCCGCGGUAAUACAGAGGGUGCAAGCGUUAAUCGGAUUUACUGGGCGUAAAGCGCGCGUAGGUGGCCAAUUAAGUCAAAUGUGAAAUCCCCGAGCUUAACUUGGGAAUUGCAUUCGAUACUGGUUGGCUAGAGUAUGGGAGAGGAUGGUAGAAUUCCAGGUGUAGCGGUGAAAUGCGUAGAGAUCUGGAGGAAUACCGAUGGCGAAGGCAGCCAUCUGGCCUAAUACUGACACUGAGGUGCGAAAGCAUGGGGAGCAAACAGGAUUAGAUACCCUGGUAGUCCAUGCCGUAAACGAUGUCUACUAGCCGUUGGGGCCUUUGAGGCUUUAGUGGCGCAGCUAACGCGAUAAGUAGACCGCCUGGGGAGUACGGUCGCAAGACUAAAA